GCUACUCAUUGUUGUUAUGUGGGUCGCACUAACCCGUAGAACCGAACUUGUGCCGUUAUUCGUCAAGCCUGCAAGGUCCGGUCUACGGGACUGUGCUGCCCUGGCUGUUCCAUCCCAUCGCAA
rnacentral:precursor_RNA from 10 species